rnacentral:rRNA from 1 species
UUGAGAGUUUGAUCCUGGCUCAGAACGAACGCUGGCGGCAGGCUUAACACAUGCAAGUCGAGCGCACUCUUCGGAGUGAGCGGCGGACGGGUUAGUAACGCGUGGGAAUAUACCCUUCACUACGGAAUAGCCUCGGGAAACUGAGAGUAAUACCGUAUACGCCCUUCGGGGGAAAGAUUUAUCGGUGAAGGAUUAGCCCGCGUAAGAUUAGAUAGUUGGUGGGGUAAUGGCCUACCAAGUCUACGAUCUAUAGCUGGUUUUAGAGGAUGAUCAGCAACACUGGGACUGAGACACGGCCCAGACUCCUACGGG